CGGGGCGUCAUAGAGGGUGAGAAUCCCGUAUGUGACCGGCGGCCAAGCCCAUGUGAAACUCCUUCGACGAGUCGAGUUGUUUGGGAAUGCAGCUCAAAAUGGGUGGUAAAUUUCAUCUAAAGCUAAAUACCGGCCAGAGACCGAUAGCGCACAAGUAGAGUGAUCGAAAGAUGAAAAGCACUUUGGAAAGAGAGUCAAACAGUACGUGAAAUUGUUGAAAGGGAAGCGCUUGCGACCAGACCUGCUUCCGGGCGAUCAGCCGUCCUUCGGGGCGGUGCACUCGCCCGUAGACAGGCCAGCAUCGGUUCGGGCGGCCGGAUAAAGGCCUCGGGAAUGUAGCUCCUUUCGGGGAGUGUUAUAGCCCUUGGUGCAAUGCGGCCAGCCGGGACCGAGGACCGCGCUUCGGCUAGGAUGCUGGCGUAAUGGUCGUAAGCGGCCCGUCUUGAAACACGGACCAAGGAGUCUAACAUCUAUGCGAGUGUUUGGGUGUGAAACCCAUCCGCGCAAUGAAAGUGAACGGAGGUGGGAACCCGUUUGGGCGCACCAUCGACCGAUCCAGAUGUCUUCGGAUGGAUUUGAGUAGGAGCAUAGCUGUUGGGACCCGAAAGAUGGUGAACUAUGCCUGAAUAGGGUGAAGCCAGAGGAAACUCUGGUGGAGGCCCGCAGCGGUUCUGACGUGCAAAUCGAUCGUCAAAUUUGGGUAUA
rnacentral:rRNA from 1 species